AUCCCAUUAUGUGGACAUCUUCUUAAUAGUUCUUUAAAUCUCUCUCAAGCUUCACAUAAGGAUUCACCUUUAAAUUGAGUGAAUGAGGUUAUAUCAUUCCUCAUUUU
rfam:Theobroma cacao cultivar Matina 1-6 chromosome 10, whole genome shotgun sequence.